UAUCGGUUCUCUCGCAACACUAACCUGUGGAUUCGGUCAGGUCCGGAAGGAAGCAGCCGCAGCAGGAGACGUGUGUGCCGGGAUGUAGCUGGUAGGG
rnacentral:SRP_RNA from 1 species